CAUAACAAAUCCCCCCUGUCUGAACAUAGCUGUGGGCUCCCUGAUGAAGUCAGAUAUCAGCAACUUAGUCAGUGCCCCAAAUUUCACACAAGUGAUAAAAAUAUGAUGGUGGUGGUCUGAAAUCAAGGUUAUCAAAAAGAGACCAAAGACCCUGGGCUGUGUGUACCCGUGGCAAAGACCAUCAUGGCAAUGGGUCAUGCUAGUUUUACUCUUAAAAAUUUGCCUCUCUUAGGCCACACACACACACGACUUUUCUUUGACACAUGUCACACAGCAGUUUUCAGAACCAUUGCAGUCUAUGGGGCAUGGCUGUGAAGGAUCUGUGCUCAGCGUGAUGUCACGACUCGAUCAUACUAGAAACAUAGCACAGGUCCUUCACAACCAUGAGGAGCAACUGACUCUGUACAUGCAAGUGGAUGAGGCGAGUGUUUUUUUUUUUUUCCUUAAUCAGGUGCAUCUCACGCCAGUGCAGGGAGAUCAAGCCUGGUGAAUAGAGGCGGCUGUUUUUUUUCACUGUCAUGUACAUGUAGCCUUACUUUUAUUUUAUACAGAAAGUGGUUUCUGGGCUAAGCAAUUUCUGAAAAUUCUGCUUUUCUGCUCCCUCUUUGCCAAGUUCUCAAACUAUUCACAAAAACUAUCCAAUUUUCUGUGUUACCUAAUCUUUUUCAUACAGAAAUGUCUUCACACAGUUACCACAAGUAAAGAAGUGAACUUCAUGCAGAAAUGUAUUUAAAAUAUCCACAAAGCAGUAAGAUCUUCUUUCCCUUGUAGCUUGAAAAAGGUAAUGUUAGCGUGAAGUGAAGAGUCUAUUGAUGUGUAGAAUGGCGGAAUUUACUUCAAUGGGGAAAA